rnacentral:RNase_P_RNA from 1 species
GGUGCAAGCUGACUUGUCGCUCCGGUCCUAGAGGCUGGUGAGGAAAGUCCGGGCAACAUAGAGCACCAUACUUCCUAACGGGAAGGGGUUUAGCUGGAGACAGCUGAACUACAGACAGUGCCACAGAAAACAAACCGCUCCAUCCCCCGGGAUGGGGUAAGGGUGAAAAGGUGGGGUAAGAGCCCACCGGGCAGCGGGCGACCGAUGCCGCAUGGCAAACCUUAUGGGUUGAAAGAUCAAAUAGGCUCCGGUCCAAGAGCUGCUCGUUCAAUUCCCGCCUUGGCGGGAAAACCGGAGUGGGUAGAUCGAUAGAUCCUGAUCGCGAGGUCAGGGCCAGAUAAAUGACAAGUAUCCAUCCCAUUGAUACCGGGAUGGGGACAGAACCCGGCUUAUAGGCUUGCACAUUUA